rnacentral:rRNA from 1 species
GACGAACGCUGGCGGCGUGCUUAACACAUGCAAGUCGAGCGGUAAGGCCCUUUCGGGGGUACACGAGCGGCGAACGGGUGAGUAACACGUGGGUGACCUGCCCUCAGCUCUGGGAUAAGCCUGGGAAACCGGGUCUAAUACUGGAUAUGACUCCAUGACGCAUGUUGUGGGGUGGAAAGCCUUGUGCGGCUGAGGAUGGGCCCGCGGCCUAUCAGCUUGUUGGUGGGGUGANGGCCUACCAAGGCGACGACGGGUAGCCGGCCUGAGAGGGCGACCGGCCGCACUGGGACUGAGACACGGCCCAGACUCCUACGGGAGGCAGCAGUGGGGAAUCUUGCGCAAGUGGGCGAAAGCCUGACGCAGCGACGCCGCGUGA